rnacentral:rRNA from 1 species
AUGGAGCGCGUCAAUCAAUGUCCGGAGAUGUAUCUCUGCUGUGCAGUUCACGGCACUCCCAAGCAGUGGCGCAAAUGGCUUCCGACGGCAGAAUUCUGGUACAAUUCCACGCACCAUUCCUCUCUGAACUGCUCCCCUUUCAAGGCCUUAUACGGAAAAGAACCCAACCUGGGGGGUCUGCCGCACCUGAGUUCUGCAUUGCCGGAUGGCACCCCGGCGGCUGAGUUGGACUGGGCCAUGCACACGGAGCUGCUACGCGCCCAGCUUGCACGAGCUCAACACCGCUUCAAGAAACAAGCAGAUCGGCACAUGGCGGAGCGCGCCUUCGAUGUCGGGGAACAAGUUCUCCUCAAGCUGCAGCCGUACGCGCAAUCCUCCGUCGCCAACCACCCAUGCCGCAAAUUGGCAUAUAAGUUCUUUGGACCGUUCGUCGUCACCGAGCGCAUCGGCACCCUGGCGUACCGUCUCUAG